UACGUAGGGGGCAAGCGUUGUCCGGAUUCAUUGGGCGUAAAGAGCGUGUAGGCGGCCAGGUAGGUCGGUUGUGAAAACUGGAGGCUCAACCUUCAGAGGUCGACCGAAACCAUCUGGCUAGAGUCCGGGAGAGGAGAGUGGAAUUCCUGGUGUAGCGGUGAAAUGCGCAGAUAUCAGGAAGAACACCUAUAGCGAAGGCAGCUUGCUGGGACGUUACUGACGCUAAGGCGCGAAAGCGUGGGGAGCGAACAGG
rnacentral:rRNA from 1 species